rnacentral:ncRNA from 1 species
UUAUGCAGCGUGCUGUCCAGCGGCUUGAUGAAAAGCGAGUUAUUGUUCAGCGCCACAUCGCCUUUUGCGGUUACCUGCUCGCCAUCAAGCGGGAUAUCAAGAUGUAAGCGAGCAUUCACAUCGCCGUCGAGCUGGAGUUCUUCAAGCGUAGCGGCAAGCGAGUCGUUUAAUGGCGUCUGCUGGAAGUAAGGCCCGACGGCUUUGCCUGGCCCGGCGAUAUCGGCGUCAAUAAAGAGCCGGUCCUGCGAAUAGUCCGGUAUGACGGCUUCGACAUGGCGCCCUUUUACGCCGCCGAGAUUGACUUCGGGGGCCGACAUCCAAAGCCCGUCGUUGCGAAAAUCGAGCUCGAUGUCGAAGUUCUCCAGCGCUGGCCAGCCGGGCUGGAAAGCGUAUUUCGCAUUAU